CGAUCUAGAGUUCAUGGGUCUAAGUGGUUUUAUAGUUUAUCAUGUGUCUGAAACAAGAAUUUUUUAGUUAUCAACGUUGUGGAUCUCUGAAACUUUACGUUCUCUUUGUAUUAAAUGUAUAUUAUAGCAACGAGUGUUUGAAGAGACUCAAGAGUCAAGAGACUUGGAGAGCAACAAGUAUUGGCUGCCUUGGAGAGUUUAAUAAAAUGAGUUUGCAUUAACAUGAAUGUGAACUUUAGUUUUUAAUUUCAGUGAAGACAAAAAUGAAUAAAAGACACAUUUUGCAUUUACAUGAUCAUACUUACAGUUUUUAACAUUUAAAUUUAAGUCAAAUUUGAUAGGCAAAAAAAUAUUGACUUGUAAAAAAAAUUAAAUGGGCUAACCCUGAUCUAGCCUAACCUUUAACAAAAAGUAGGGUUAAAAUAGGGUUGGGUUAAAAUAGGGUUGGGUUAAAACAGGGCUAGAUUUAUAUAACCCAAAGAAGGGCUUAACCUUAACCAUGUACAUAACAUCCCUAACUAUAUGUCACCGGAGUUCAAGAUCCUUUGACAAGUCAAAGCCGUGAAGGUUAUGGAGUCUUCUCCUUUGUUUCUUGUGUUACAAGCAACAUUUAUAACUUAAAACUUAAUUAAGGGUUUCAUUCGUUGGGAGAAUCGGACAAGAAACCAAUUCUAAAGCCUAACCUACCGAGUCUUGUUGCAUACCAAGUUUUUGGGAGUUUCAUGAUUCAUCUCUUAUCUUGGCUAAAGUGAGGGUCUAUUUUGUAAAUUUUGUACCAAUGUAGAAUUCUCCCUAUGUUAGUUUGGAUUCUCCCUUUGUAUUAAAUGUAUAUUAUGUUUGGUUCUUUGUGCCUUUGUCUUUGUCAGUUUUGUUUCAGCUUGUUUAUGUUCUCUCGGUGCUUGUACUUGUUUAUGUUCACUUAGGUGUGUUCUGCAAUUUGUGAUUGUCUUCUCUUAGCUCUUGUGUUUGAGUUUACUUUGAAUACUUUUGAUUGAUUCUGCCUCAAACCCAUACAUCACAAAUCGUAUAGCAUUCACGGACUGUGUCUUCUUUGACUGUUUUAGCUUUUAGCUCAUGAAUCAAGCAUCUUACUGCUGGCUGUGAUAAACUGAUUCUGUUUUUGGCUUCUUACAGAGCAACGAGUGUUUGAAGAGACUCAAGAGUCAAGAGACUUGGAGAGCAACAAGUAUUGGCUGCGUUGGAGAGUUUAAUAAAAUGAGUUUGCAUUAACAUGAAUGUAAACUUUAGUUUUUAAUUUCAGUGAAGACAAAAAUGAAUAAAAGACACAUUUUGCAUUUACAUGAUCAUACUUACAGUUUUUAACAUUUAAAUUUAAGUCAAAUUUGAUAGGCAAAAAAAUAUUGACUUGUAAAAAAAAAAAAAUAGGCUAACCCUGAUCUAGCCUAACCUUUAACAAAAAGUAGGGUUAAAAUAGGGUUGGGUUAAAAUACGGUUGGGUUAAAACAGGGCUAGGUUUAUAUAACCCAAAGAAGGACUUAACCUUAACCAUGUACAUAACAUCCCUAACUAUAUGUCACCGGAGUUCAAGAUCCUUUGACAAGUCAAAGCCGUGAAGGUUAUGGAGUCUUCUCCUUUGUUUCUUGUGUUACAAGCAACAUUUAUAACUUAAAACUUAAUUAAGGGUUUCAUUCGUUGGGAGAAUCGGACAAGAAACCAAUUCUAAAGCCUAACCUACCGAGUCUUGUUGCAUACCAAGUUUUUGGGAGUUUCAUGAUUCAUCUCUUAUCUUGGCUAAAGUGAGGGUCUAUUUUGUAAAUUUUGUACCAAUGUAGAAUUCUCCCUAUGUUAGUUUGGAUUUUAAAUCAUGAUUCGUCUAUUUGAAUUGAGUCAAUUUGAGUUUUGAUUGAUAGUUAAUUCAUUCAUGGUAAAAUGAAACUAGGGGUUUAGAGGAUUCAAAUGAUUGUGUGAUGUGAAGAUAUAUAUAUAUAUAUAUACACACAUAGUUAUGAGUAGGGAUUAUUUGCGGGGGGAGGGGGGGGGGGGGGGUGGGGGGGGGAGGGUUCAGAGAUGUCUGGACUAGUGACACAACUAUGGAGUGCGGGGCUCAGAGACAUCUGGGCUAGCGAUGCAGAUUGUUUGGGGCAUGGGUGCGGAGACGUUUGCAUUCGAUGCAGCUUUGGAGGGCGGGGGUACAGAGACAGACUGUACUAGCGAAGCAGCGUAUGUAUAUAUAUCCAUAUGAGGAGAUGUGGGGUGUAUGGACUAGAUAUAUGGUAUCAUCGCAUUGUUUGUUUUUGUGUAUGUGUGAUGCUUUAAGCGUCUUGCUUGUUCAUGUUAGAGCUAAACUUCCAUAGUGGGAAUUCUAUUUACUCAAGUCGGUAGUUUGCGUGUUUAGCAUCCGAUACCUCACGGAGUAACUUCCCUGUUACUCCCCCCCUCCUUUCCUUCCCCUUUCAGGUGAGACUAAUGAACAUGAGUGAUUGCUAUCGGAUUGGUGCUUUGGAAGUUUUAUUUCUUUCUUUUUCAGACUUGCGGUUUUUACGCAUUUAUCGAUAUUUUUGGAAUCUAUUAAGUUAUUUGGAUUUAUGGCUAUUUAUUGGAUUUAUAGAGUUUAGAGACGAUUUAUGAGGAUUAAUAAAUGAAGAUUUCAAGAUUAUUAUUUUUAUUAUUUAUUACGGGAAAUAUGGAUGUUACAAUUCAAUCGGUGACAGCUUGUCUUGUUGGAAAUUUGUUAAAGGAUGAGAUCUUGGAUUCGAGUAACGCCAAGCGCAUCAAUAACUUACAUGGAGGAGUCAGUGAGGGCUCACAUGUGAGGGGUUAGGGUCGGUGCCCUGCAGGUCUGUGAACUUGAGGUCCACGGGAUCGGUGGGGUCUACGAGACAGGUUGUUACAAUUUUCUGCUUUUGGUUUGCAGGUGAAUGUUUACUUGGAAGCUGGCUUAUUCUGAAGAGCUUGGCCUCUGCAAAACGUUCCCAGCCUUAGACGCUAGGUAUAUGUUUGUAAGCUUAUCAUUGUGUAAGCAUAGCGAGUAGAAACAAGUAAUAUUUUCUUAGUCUCUUAGAAAGUAAAUUGCAGAUAUUGGUUUGGUAUAUAUAAGGUUCAGAGUGUUUUUUUGAAUCAAAGAUUGAUUCAAGAAACUGACCUACCUAACCUUCCUUGCAAGCAUUAGUCAAAUAAAGCCUAAGAUUGUAUCCAUUGCACCUCUCUUUGGAAGGAGGCUAAAAGGAUGUAAAAUGUGAGUUUUUAUGAGAAGACAAUACUUGCAGAUACUGGUACACAACAACUCUAACCACCUUAACAUACAUUCUCCUGACUCGCACAUUAUAGAAAUUAUUUCCCUCUUGUCCACAUAGACAGUUGACUCCCUAUGAAACAGUAAAGUUGAGGCCAUCGAACCUAUCAAUGGGUGGUGCUACAUUUCAUGUCCCAAAUGUUCCAAAAAACUGCAGCCUCGAAUAUGAUCCUUCAAUUGCACAACAUGUUGUGACACCACCACCAUUUCUGUCGUCAGGUAACACUUUACCAUUGUUGCAUUCAUGUUCCCUAGAGCUCCUAUCAAGUGAUGUCAUCGGACUAACCAUAUGUCCACAACUCAAAAUGUUUAUGUCUUCUAGGUAACGGGUCGAGAUGGCAGUCGAUGAUGGGACAAAGUCAGCCGUGUGACACCUUCGUGUGUUAACCAAACGAGAAUUCCCACCUUCUCAUUUACUCUUCUUAAGAAAUUUUAGCCAUGAUAAAUUUAACAUGUACGCCUAUAUUCAAGCUUCUAUGAUAUGGUGACAGCCAGACAUAGUAAACAUUGGGAGCUAAGCUUCAAAGAACCACAUCAAACACGAAAUAUGUGUAACUUCUAAUCGAAACAGUUACACACGUCUACCUAUGAAAUGUGGAAACAUCACUGGACUUCUUGACCUGGCGUGUAAGACUGUGGCAGAUAUGUUGAUAGGCAAGACUUGGGAAGCGAUGCGCACGCACUUCAACAUCAAGAACGACUACACAUCUGAGGAAGAAGCUGAGGUUCGCAAGGAGAAUGCAUAGGCCUUCGAGUAACUUUUGCUCCCUGGUGGGUUAGGAUAGUCUUCUAUUAGAUUUCUUCUUUCUUUUCCCUUUUUGUUUGAAGUUUGUCAUAUGUCUACGAAUACCUAAUGCUUUGUUCUACUAACAAUUUCUAUUGGUUUUUUAUCAUAAAGUUUGGGUCUUUGUGCUUU